CCAAGCUUACUUAUCGCCCGGCCUCCUCCCUCAGCCUCCAUCCCUUUCCUGCCUGCCCAGCCACUGUGACCUCUGGCUCUCAGGUUCUGUCUGCACACUCCAUGCCCACCAGUGUCCCGUGUUGACUUACUCCAGCUACCUGCUGGAACCUUUGAGGGACUGGGGAUGUGGCGGCAGCACCAGGUUGGAACUUGGCUGGAGGUCAAACCCUAGACCAACUGUUUACCCUGCCCCAAUAAAACAAUGAGGCAGGAUUAGAUCCGGGAACAUUUCCUGGGACUCUUGCUACUUUCUCCAAAAACCAUUAAACCAUACUCAGUUCCUGACACCA